UACAGAGGUCUCAAGCGUUGUUCGGAAUCACUGGGCGUAAAGGGUGCGUAGGUGGCGUGGUAAGUCAGAUGUGAAAGCCCGGGGCUCAACCUCGGAACUGCAUCCGAUACUGCCAUGCUAGAGAACUGAAGAGGAGUGUAGAAUUCUCGGUGUAGCAGUGAAAUGCGUAGAUAUCGAGAGGAAUACCAACGGCGAAGGCAGCACUCUGGGCAGUUUCUGACACUGAGGCACGAAGGCUAGGGGAGCAAACGGG
rnacentral:rRNA from 2 species